rnacentral:rRNA from 1 species
CCUACGGGCGGCAGCAGUGGGGAAUAUUGGGCAAUGGGCGCAAGCCUGACCCAGCAACGCCGCGUGAAGGAAGAAGGCUUUCGGGUUGUAAACUUCUUUUCUCAGGGACGAAGCAAGUGACGGUACCUGAGGAAUAAGCCACGGCUAACUACGUGCCAGCAGCCGCGGUAAUACGUAGGUGGCAAGCGUUAUCCGGAUUUACUGGGUGUAAAGGGCGUGUAGGCGGGAAAGCAAGUCAGAUGUGAAAACCAUGGGCUCAACCUGUGGCCUGCAUUUGAAACUGUUUUUCUUGAGUACUGGAGAGGCAGACGGAAUUCCUAGUGUAGCGGUGAAAUGCGUAGAGAUUAGGAGGAACACCAGUGGCGAAGGCGGUCUGCUGGACAGCAACUGACGCUGAGGCGCGAAAGCGUGGGGAGCAAACAGGAUUAGAUACCCCUGUAGUC